UCUUAGUCAUCCAUUAGAUGUUUUUGUACUUUAGAAGAAAUAUCAUUGUGGAAUUGCUGUAAUAAAAUAUUUUGUUUCAGAAUGGAAAGGCAGAGUGGUGGGAACAAUGGAUACCAUAUUUGUUGGGGGCUCGCAACCCUAUACAUAAUCCAGAUAGAUCUACGACUCCUGAAAAAUCUACUUUAAAGAUAUUUAUAAGUAGUGAAACAUGCCAUACAGUUAAAUGUGGGUAUGCUACAGAUAUUGAGGUCAGUGGAAGUGGAAUAUACCUCAAAUUUGUUUCUCCAAUUGAAUACCAGUGACCAAUGGGAGAUAAUCCUAUGUUGCCAUAGUAGUAGCUCUUGAAACAAGAUUGGCUAUCAGCCUGAUAAUUUCAGGCGAAGGUGGCUUUAAUGAACAGCAACCCCUAGUACAGUUCAAAUAAAGGUCAUCCUGUAGUAGGGUUAGAUUUGGAUAGUAGGGUUAGAAUACUGGCAUCACCAAAAUCAAAAUGUUCCAAUCAGAAAAAGUCCCCCAACAAGGACAAUUUCUCAAAUCAAGAUAUCAAAGACUUAGCUGUUUUUCAGUUUAAUGUGGAGAAACAUCAUUGCAGUCUUCAUGUGUCAGAAGAUCCAUGUUGCUACAUUGAAAAAUACAAAUAAGGUCUAGAGUACUAAAUUGUAGAUAGUAUAAAUAAAAUUCAACAUUUUGCUUUAAUUAUGAAGGUGCUUACAUUAUGUAGUGUGUGUGUGUGUGUGAUAAAAGAAAAAAAUGGAGAGUUAUGUUAGUGCCAAAUAUGGUAUGUGUUUUCCUAAUGUGAUAUUUUACAAGUUGUGUAUGUAUUUUGCAAGUUUUCAUAGAGUUCAAUGUGAAAGUUGUUCAGAUUUUCAUGAAAAUAACUUUUGAGCUUUCAGAUAUUUUUUGAGUAUCUGGAAUAAAAUAAAUGUU